rnacentral:rRNA from 1 species
AUUGAACGCUGGCGGCAGGCCUAACACAUGCAAGUCGAGCGGAUGAGGGAAGCUUGCUUCCCGAUUUAGCGGCGGACGGGUGAGUAAUGCCUAGGAAUCUGCCUAUUAGUGGGGGAUAACGUUCCGAAAGGAACGCUAAUACCGCAUACGUCCUACGGGAGAAAGUGGGGGAUCCUCGGACCUCACGCUAAUAGAUGAGCCUAGGUCGGAUUAGCUAGUUGGUGGGGUAACGGCUCACCAAGGCGACGAUCCGUAGCUGGUCUGAGAGGAUGAUCAGCCACACUGGAACUGAGACACGGUCCAGACUACUACGGGAGGCAGCAGUGGGGAAUAUUGGACAAUGGGCGAAAGCCUGAUCCAGCCAUGCCGCGUGUGUGAAGAAGGUCUUCGGAUUGUAAAGCACUUUAAGUUGGGAGGAAGGGUUGUAAGCUAAUAUCUUGCAGCUUUGACGUUACCAACAGAAUAAGCACCGGCUAACUCUGUGCCAGCAGCCGCCGUAAUAC